GUGCUCGCUCCGGCAACACAUAUACUAAAAUUGGAACAAUACAGAAAAGAUCAGCACAGCCCCUGUGCAAGGAUGACUUUAUGUCAAAUAAAUGAAUAAAUAAAUAA